ACCAAUGGACACUGGCCGUUGCUAAGCUCAGUACUAUUUCCACUGUUGAACUAUCCAUAUUGACUUUGCAUUCCAUGUUGUAGUUGCACAUCUCCUACUUGACUAUCAGCAAGUGAUUUCAUUGUUUAGUGGCAUUACUUGUUGAUAUUGCUAAUACAAGCGCUUCAGCGGCAUCAUACUAUUAAAGAUGAGGGUUAAAUUG